AUAACUCACCUGUGUCAGGCUGCCAACAGCAGUAAGGAGCCAAGUGAAGCCAUUUGGAGGCGGACGGAGAGACAAGGACAAAUGCAUUCCCUUCAGCCUGUUUGUCAUUAGCAGAAGCACCGAACAAAGUCAUUUUUGUUGGAGAGUUAACCGGAUCAAAGCCAAAGCUCUCUAAAGAAAACCAACCCCAAACAGGAGAAGAGCCUGAGGGAUCUGGGGCUGUGCUGCUGAGAGAGGAGGAGCCUGAGAGGAGACCUCAUUCAUGUUGAUAAAGAUGUGCAGGUGCAGGACUCUGCACUGAUCCCUGUGGAACCUCAUCAUGCUCCUCUCUGCCCAGCUCUCAGCCUGUCCAAGUCUCACUGAAUGGCCACACAGCCUGCAGGUGUCUCAGCCAAGCCUCCCAGUUAAAAGGACACACAGCAGUGGAGCUCUUGACUGGAUGCAGCAGAAUAGAUGAAUAGGACUGAAGUUAUUGCAAUUAUAGUUAAAAAAACAAACCCCAAACUAACACAAAACAAACCAAAACCAAACAAACCCCCAAAAGGUGGAGAGGGGGAGAAGGAGGGGAGGAGGAAGAGGAGGAGCAAAUGCCUUUCUGCAAAGUAAUCCUCAGGGGUUUUCUAUGCUUGAAUUGCUGCACAGUUCCUAUAUUUAAAUGAUAUGAAAAGCCUAAAGUAACCAAAACCUAACAUAGUGAUAAAGCAAAGGAUUAAGUGAUUUGAGUAGUAAAGAGAAUAAGGGGAGACAGAGGAGCCCAGACUGAGGAAGCAGAGGAGGAAGAGGAAGAGUUGUUACUAACAAUCCUAAUUCUUAAAUUAAAGGGAC